rnacentral:rRNA from 1 species
GGCCUAACACAUGCAAGUCGAGGGGUAUUGGUUUUCGGACCAAGAGACCGGCGCACGGGUGCGUAACGCGUAUGCAAUCUACCUUUCACAGAGGGAUAGCCCAGAGAAAUUUGGAUUAAUACCUCAUAGUAUAGUACCUUGGCAUCAAGGAACUAUUAAAGUCACAACGGUGAAAGAUGAGCAUGCGUCCCAUUAGCUAGUUGGUAUGGUAACGGCAUACCAAGGCUACGAUGGGUAGGGGUCCUGAGAGGGAGAUCCCCCACACUGGUACUGAGACACGGACCAGACUCCUACGGGAGGCAGCAGUGAGGAAUAUUGGACAAUGGGCGCAAGCCUGAUCCAGCCAUGCCGCGUGCAGGAUGACGGUCCUAUGGAUUGUAAACUGCUUUUGCACAGGAAGAAACAACGCUACGUGUAGCGUCUUGACGGUACUGUGAGAAUAAGGAUCGG